rnacentral:rRNA from 1 species
GUUUACUUGAUCUUGACUAUCCUACUUGGAUAACUGUGGUAAUUCUAGAGCUAAUACAUGCAAACAAGCUCCGACCUUACGGGACGAGCGCAUUUAUUAGACCAAAACCAAUCGGGCUUCGGCCUGAGACGUUGGUGACUCUGAAUAACUGAGCUGAUCGCAUGGUCUUUGUACCGGCGACGUAUCUUUCAAGUGUCUGCCUUAUCAACUUUCGAUGGUAGUUUAUGUGCCUACCAUGGUUGUUACGGGUAACGGAGAAUAAGGGUUCGACUCCGGAGAGGGAGCCUGAGAAACGGCUACCACAUCCAAGGAAGGCAGCAGGCGCGCAAAUUACCCACUCUCGGCACGAGGAGGUAGUGACGAAAAAUAACGAGGCGGUUCUCUAUGAGGCCCGCUAUCGGAAUGAGUACAAUUUAAACCCUUUAACGAGGACCUAUGAGAGGGCAAGUCUGGUGCCAGCAGCCGCGGUAAUUCCAGCUCUCAAGGUGUAUAUCGCCAUUGCUGCGGUUAAAAAGCUCGUAGUUGGAUCUGCGCCUUCGGACUCGGUCCGCCCAACGGGUGUGAACUGGGAUCCAAGGCUUAUACUGCUGGUUUUCUCUUGAUGCUCUUUACUGGGUGUCUUGAGUGGCUAGCGAGUUUACUUUGAAAAAAUUAGAGUGCUCAAAACAGGCUAACGCCUGAAUACUCGUGCAUGGAAUAAUAGAAUAAGACCACGGUUCUAUUUUAUUGGUUUUCGGAACUGUGAUAAUGGUUAAGAGGGACAGACGGGGGCAUUCGUAUCGCUGCGUGAGAGGUGAAAUUCUUGGACCGCAGCGAGACGCCCUACUGCGAAAGCAUUUGCCAAGAAUGUGCUUCUG